CUCCCGGAGGGCGUCCUGCAGGAGGCGUCCUAUGGAGGAAGAAUCGCAGGCCUCCUAACAGGUGUCCUAAAGCAGAAUCUGCAUUUUAACAGAACCCCGUGCUCCGUAUCCACCCCCCGAAUUUGCUCUGCACCCGGAAGUUUGUGAAGCCGCAGUGUAGCUGCUGGGUGACGUGGCUACAGGUGAUGUUGCGUUGGAAGAUUCAGGAGGCACAAAGCUGCACAGCCGGAGGCUGGGGCGGUGGUGACGCGGCAGCUCUUUCCUGCGUUUGAGCAGUGCCCGCAGGCGGCUUCAGGAGGUGGUCAACACUGGUCACUGGGCAGCCGGGUGGAACAGCACGACCGCGGAGCCCUUGCCUGGAGGAAAGGGCUUUAGCGGUUCGGACGAGAGGCCAGGCCGCCACGGCAUACUGAACACGUCUGGAGAAAUGGAGACCAUGAGUUCCGGUGCACAUGUGGGAAAAUCACACCAGCCGAGAUAAAAAUCUUCCUCUUGGAGCCUGCAUUACUGAAGACACUGUGAGGAACUAUACA